ACUCCUACGGGAGGCAGCAGCAAGGAAUUUUCCGCAAUGGGCGCAAGCCUGACGGAGCAACGCCGCGUGCGGGAUGACGCCUUUCGGGGUGUAAACCGCUGUUCGUGGGGACGAAGCACUGACGGUACCCACGGAGGAAGGCCCGGCUAACUACGUGCCAGCAGCCGCGGUAAUACGUAGGGGCCGAGCGUUGUCCGGAGUUACUGGGCGUAAAGCGUGCGCAGGCGGCGUAUCGCGCCCGGCGUGAAAGCCCCCGGCUCAACCGGGGAGGGUCGUCGGGGACGGGUACGCUUGAGGGCAGCAGGGGCUGGUGGAAUUCCCGGUGUAGUGGUGAAAUGCGUAGAGAUCGGGAGGAACACCUGUGGCGAAGGCGGCCAGCUGGGCUGCACCUGACGCUGAGGCACGAAGGCGUGGGGAGCGAACGGGAUUAGAUACCCCGGUAGUCCACGCAGUAAACGAUGCAGACUAGGCGUGGGGGGACUUGACCCCCUCCGUGCCGGUGCUAACGCGGGAAGUCUGCCGCCUGGGGAGUACGGCCGCAAGGCUAAAACUCAAAGGAAUUGACGGGGGCCCGCACAAGCGGCGGAGCGUGUUG
rnacentral:rRNA from 1 species